ACUUGAGGGGCGGGAGAAUCGAAUCGCGUGACGUCACACCCAACCACAAUCCCUUGCGCGGCAAGUCGAGUUGACGAGCCCAGGCAAGGCCCCAAAGCAACGCUCGCGGUGUUGACAGCGGUCUAUAACUGAGCACAAUGGAUCGGCGCAGCAAGAAGUCAAGUGGGGAUGCUUCCCGGCGAACAGAUAAAACAAGCCCCAUGGAAUGUAAUGACAGUGCCACUACAGAAGUAAAUGGGAUUGCCACUGCAGAGGAUCAAGUUAAGCCAAAGAGCGACGUUGUUCAAGGAAAGCGCACAGCAUACACGGCGGGGCUGGUGCUGGUGCGCAGACCGCCGGCCAUGAAGUGCGUCGCAGUACGGCCGGGGCUGGCGCCCCCCGCCUCUGACAGCAGUGGCAGCGAGUCGGACUCCAGCUCGGACAGCGAUGAGGAGCUUGGCUGCACGGGGUGGAUGCUGCCUACGUCCGUUACCAACGCACCAUCCACAGGAUAAAUGGGCACUCCUGCUCGGACACUGCGUCUCUCCCCUGUGCUUCGUCUCUUGAGAGAUUUCGCUAACUGACGCAAGCUUUUGUUGUGCUGUAGGCUCGGCUGAAGGAUUUGCGGAAAAUUUUACCCCAGUCACAUGCACAGUUAACUCUCGGUUGUCCAUGGGUUAUCGAUUAAUUGUGCUCAUUCGUGCUUUUUACAUGCACGCUGGUUUGAUUAUGAGUAGAUCCUUGUCGAGGGUCGGUUACUCGGUGCCCAAAUGACCGCAAAAAUGUCCCCAAGUAAACAUUUAUAAUACAGUAAAAGCAGAUGACACGUUGAAUGUCUUCAUCCCCAGUCUACAUACGUAAACAAUGUUUUCAUUUCCUAUUUUUUGCAAUAUCUGUGCAUACUUUCCCUCCAUUACUCCAGAUAAUUGAGUUGACUGCAGUGGCACUAACAUGUGAAAAUGAGUUCAUGCUUUUAUUGUGUUAUUUGUAAUCUACAUAUAAACAUUUGACAUUUCUUUUUGGUAAUGCUUGUUAUGUUUAAUUUCAUUUAUGAAUUUCUAUUUUAUGUAGUUCAAUAUACAAAUGUUUCACUACAUGCUGUUUAUUACACAGCCAUGUAAUAAAUUUGAAGUGAUAUUUGUACUUGAACAUAGGAUUGUAGUAUUUAAAUUGUUUGUAAGCAUGCUGCAGUCAUGUAUACGUAGGUCUGCUGUAAUUCUUUGUCUUUUUCUGCUAUUUGAGGAGUUAAAUACUUUCUUUACAUUAAGAUCACCUCUACCACACCUUAUGAUGUGUAUUAUAUUUAAAUUAAAACUAAAAUAAGUCGUGUUUUUCAUGAGCCUUCAUGGUUUUUGAAGAUGCUUGGGUAGUGUUUAGUGAUGCAAAUUGUAAAAGCUCAGCCUCUUAUUAUGUUUUUGAUGUCCUGUUGCCAACUCAACUUACCGGCCUUGUAUUUCCAAUUCCAUGUUCCAUGGCCAAACAAAAGCUAACUGGGGGGGGGGGGGGUUCCUUGUGAGUACAAGCCAACAAGCCAUGGCUCUAUAAAGGAUGUGGCUCACAAAGCAAAACUUGGAAGUUGGCUUUAAACCAAAUGUCUUAAUGGGGGCACAUUUUUCAACACGACAAUUUCGACAACUGGAACUUAAUUCGCACCCGAAUAUCACCCCUUCUGUAGAUUUGUCCUUGGGUUGGAUUGACAUUUGAGCCAUGUAAAUAACUCCAUCCUGAUCUGUGCCGACUUAGGAUUGAGGGCAUUUCAGACUUACGAUGUGCUCCAACUUUUGAUGACUAUAUUCCCAGCCACUCUAUGCGCUCAUUCCAAAGUUGAUUCAAUGCUGGCUUUGUACUCGGGUUAUAUCACGUAAUCAUGUUAUGUACAGUCUUGGUCAACUGUUGUCGGUGAAGGGACAGCCAGGACCGGUUCAAAUAAAAGCUGCCGAUGUUAACCGUGA